ACCUUACCUGGUCUUGACAUCCACAGAACUUGCCAGAGAUGGCUUGGUGCCUUCGGGAACUGUGAGACAGGUGCUGCAUGGCUGUCGUCAGCUCGUGUUGUGAAAUGUUGGGUUAAGUCCCGCAACGAGCGCAACCCUUAUCCUUUGUUGCCAGCGGUCCGGCCGGGAACUCAAAGGAGACUGCCAGUGAUAAACUGGAGGAAGGUGGGGAUGACGUCAAGUCAUCAUGGCCCUUACGACCAGGGCUACACACGUGCUACAAUGGCGCAUACAAAGAGAAGCGACCUCGCGAGAGCAAGCGGACCUCAUAAAGUGCGUCGUAGUCCGGAUUGGAGUCUGCAACUCGACUCCAUGAAGUCGGAAUCGCUAGUAAUCG
rnacentral:rRNA from 1 species